rnacentral:tRNA from 1 species
GCAUCUAGGGNUGAAUGGUCAAAGCNCCCAACUCAUAAUUGGGAAGUCACNGGUUCAAUUCCUGCUGGAUGCA